CAAGCUGACGGUAAAAAUAGCCUCGUCCCAAAGCCGGCCUCUCCCGGACAUCUGCAAUCUCAGCCCAUUGUCUGGUUCCCCCCGGCCCAGCGCACCCUUGAUGGGGAGGAGACGGGCCCCGGACGGUGAGUGCAGCCCCCCAGCGCCCAGGGGGCCCUCCAGACUCCAGCCCCACGCUGGGGCUCCAGCCCUCUCGUAAGGGGCCCGAGGAGGAUGACUUGGGAUGGAAGCCAGACGGCUCCAGCUGGGCUGAACAGGCUCCUCCAGGGGGCUGGGCGCCCAUCCCCUCGCUCCUGUCCUGAGCUGGGCGGUGGCUCUGCCUUGCUCGUCUCUGCACGCCCGGGGGACACUCGCCAACGUCAGGCUGGCGACUGCUGGGUUGCUCGAAGGAAUCCCUGCAGUCUGUGCUCUGGAAGGCCCACCUUCCCUGGGUCUCUUCCCCGCCGCUCAAGACCUCACAUUUGCCACGUUAAGAUUGAUCGCCAGCUUAAAAGCUUUUGGGAAACUUGGGCUAUUGCAACUGGAACCCCGGGAAGAUUUGCCAGGGAACCUGCAAACAAGCUGCUGGGCCACCGACGCUCCAGCUCUUCUCCCCUUUGGCCCCAAGGGACGCGUGCGAGGGACAGGCCUUCGUGUGGAUGGAAGAGAGAGAAGGGAUGCUUGCUGUGCCUGGGAUGUUCCAAGCAGAGGCAGAGGAAAUCCACCUGUGGCUGCGACUGGGCUCAAGGUCGCACAAGCUCUGUGGGACGCGGGCCCAAAGGGGGAGAGCGGCUCCUGCCUGCACGCGGGGGUGUGGGCACAGCUGCUCACAUCUGGUGCCAGGCUGAGGCCCUGGGUCGCUCUUAACCGUCCAGCGGCUGCGUAAUUGCAGUCUGAACAGCUGGUCCUGUUCCGGAGCCUGGACGCAGGUCCACUGCACGUCACCCUUCUCCCCUUGGGGCCAUGACUUGGUUAAGGAGAGACGCCGGGCUUCUAAGUGGCUUCGAGCACCUGCCCUCCUUGUCUGGGUCAGCGGCUCCCCCAGCCCCACCCCGUUCCCUUAUCUUUCCGGGAAUCGGGUUGGAGCAGGAGAAGAGGUUCCUCAGAGGACAGCCACCCAGCCGGUGGGAGCGGGC
rnacentral:lncRNA from 12 species